rnacentral:rRNA from 1 species
ACCCCACCGCAGCACAAACCCUAGCUCACAUCCCCUUCCCCCAUCGCACCCUUCUCCCCCCAUCUGCUCGCCGCCGCCGCCACCUCCCGAUCCAAUCUCACCCCGCCGCCACCUCCCGAUCCAAUCACUGCCCAAUCCAACCAGACCCGAUCCCCACGCGCAUUCCCUCCGCUCCCCGCCCCGGAUCCGACCGACCGACCGACCGCGCCGCGCGACCGCCGGGAGAGCAUGGGGAGCGGGGGCAGGACGGAUCUGGACGGCGGCGCCGUGGCGCCGCUGACCAUCUGCGUGAUCGGCACCGGCGGCUUCAUCGGCUCGCACCUCUGCGAGAAGCUCAUGGCCGAGACCCAGCAGACGGUCCUCGCCGUCGACGUCUACUGCGACAAGAUCCGCCACCUCGUCGACCCGCCCCCGCCCCACCUCGCCGGCCGCAUCUCCUUCCACCGCCUCAACAUCAAGAACGACUCCCGCCUCGAGGGCCUCAUCAAGAUGGCCGAUCUGACGAUAAACCUGGCGGCGAUCUGCAUGCCGGCGGACUACAACACGCGCCCGCUCGACACCAUCUACAGCAACUUCAUCGACGCGCUCCCUGUGGUCAAGUACUGGAUCCGGAAGUCGUUUGCCCUGUCAGACUUGGAGAACAGCAAGCGUCUGAUCCACUUCUCCACGUGCGAGGUCUACGGCAAGACCAUCGGCAGCUUCCUCCCCAAGGACCACCCCCUCCGCAAGGUUAUUUGCAUCUUGAUUAGGAGAUGAUGGUGAUCAUCUUUUGUUGCGGGAACCUGUUAGAUAAAGUUUAUGUGAUUUGAACCUGCAAGAUACAGUUUUGUAUAAUGUUGUGUGAGAUAAAAGUUGUGAACAUAGGAGAUAAGUUAUUGAUAUGUGUUGGCCUGUCUAAUGUUAUGCGAGAUAAAGUUGUGUGAGAAAGUUUUCUAUACUUGUGUUAUUACUGUGGGAAAGAAGUACUGUUACUAUACUGAUUUGAGAGUAUUGGCUGUAAAUAAAAGAGGGCUUGGCCCACUAUUGGAUUGUAAAACGGCCAUAUCCAGAAUUUAUAUUGCAC